CAGUCUGCGGUCCCUGAUUCAUCUUAUCCAAAACUCCUCCCUUUCCAGCGACGGCAGCGACGGCGGAGCACGAGCAGGUGAGGGGCGGCGCCUUCGUCGGACGGCUACAGCCGCGGCGGAGGAGAAGGCGGACGCCAUGGGUGCGGCUACGGACGAGGCGGAGGAGAAGGCGGACGCCGUGGGCUUGCUGCGCGGCCACAUCCGAUCCGAGGCGUAGGAGAAGGCGGACGCCGUGGGCCUGCUGCGCUCAUGGGCGUUCAUGGAGGAUGGUACACCGGCCACCGGCGCCGUCCGUGCCGCCGCCAGUUCUCUCUGUUCUCCUCCGUGGUAUCCUUCUCAACCUCCGCUGCUCCUAUCGUGAUUUGGAUGGAAAAUUGGAGGCCGGCCCUGUCCUUCUCCAACACAAAUUGAUGUAGUGCCCGACCCGGAUUUGAUUGGCUGCUAUAAGAAGCAAGGGUCCUCGGCCGGAAUAUCCAUCAGGUUUUGCCCUUCGACCAUAAUCUCCAUCAUCCCGUCGAAAUUGCAAUUUUUGACCCAACAUCCAAUGUCGCCGCCAAGUUCGCCGGAGGAAGAAGCGGCGAGUUCGCCGGAGGAACAAGAACGCCCGUCGAGCUGUGCAAUGUCUCCUGUGGUGGCUACACGAUAGGCCCUUAAGAUGAGUGAUGAACAUCCGUUGAGCCGUCCAAUGUUGCCUGUGGCAACUACACCGGAGCUGUCGUCUCCUUUGACUUCACCGCUAUCGUCUCCGUCGACUUCGCCGCAAGACAAUCUGCCACCGCCUCCGCCGAUUUUUGCCGGAAGACCAUCAGCCGUCGCCUAGACCUACUUUGAGAAAAUAGAUGACAGCACUGUAACUUAAUAUUACAUAGAACAUUGAAGAGGACUUUGAUAACCGACCUUCAAAAAAAGCAAAAAUUUCUGAAUCAAGUGUUCUGGAGCCAUCACCUAUGUCACCAACUAUGUCAACAUGUACUCCAGUUUCUGAGUGUUUUGAAUCGAUUGUGCCAAAAUCAGAUAAUCAGAUAGAUUGUGGUCCAUUGCCAUCACCUCCAUCCCCAUUUAGCUCGACAUUAUCUCAAGAACAUCGGUCGAGCUGUACAAUGGCGCCUGCAGCAGUUACACCAGAGCCUAUCAAGUCGGGUUUCAGACUGAUCGUAAACAGACCUCGGUUUAAGCUGUGAUGCUAAUUUGAUCUGUGUGCUGCACCAUCAUCCAUAUCUUCGAUUUCAAGCAGUUCCAUGGCAAAUCAAAUACAUUUUUUUCUUUGUUUAUGACAGUACAUAUUUGACAGGUUAAAGCAUGUACUAUUGUGCAUAUUGAAGUGUAACAAGCCUUUCCCAGUAGCAAAACUGAAUAUGAUACCCUGUUUUGAAUUUAUGAUUUCGCAAGUAAGAUGACAUACAACUGAGUAUGUUGUUCUAAAUUUGAUAUGAGUGUUCUGCACAAAUAUUUCUCAUGUUCAACUGAUAAUGAGCACCAGCUCUAUUCGGAUGCUGCAUUAAUCAAUGUUUCGAACUGA